ensembl:snRNA U6 U6 spliceosomal RNA
GUGCUCACUUCGGCAGCAGAUAUACUAAAAUUGGAACAAUAUGAAGAUUAGCAUGGCCCCUGUGUAAGGAUGACACACAAAUUCAUAAAGCAUUCCAUAUUUUU